GCCUUGCUGACGAGUGCCAACUAGGACGAAACCUAGGUCCAUGGC
rnacentral:hammerhead_ribozyme from 1 species